GCUUCGCUGUGGCAGCUGCUGGAGCGGCGGCUGCCUCGGGAGCUGGAGGAGAGGCAGCAGCGGAGCGUCGAGCUGGCCGCGCCCCGAGGCCCGGCCCUGGGUGUGGGGAACCGCGCCGAGGAGCUGGAAACUUUCCCGGCAGGAGCUGACUACUGGGCAGGAACGUCUCUCAGGAGAAAGAGUGGAAGAGAAAAUUGUGAACUAAGGCCCCCUGCCCCCUUUUCCUGUUGCAUGUGAAGUUAUCAAAAAUAGAAACAAGUGUUGAAAAUGUUAAAGGCAGUGCUGAAGAAGAGCCGAGAGGGAGGAAAAGGAGGCAAGAAGGAAGCAGACUAGAUGUUUUCCUAGGGCUUUGGAUUAUCCAUAUCCCAUGUGAGUGGGCAUCUGCAAGUGUGCCCACACCCUGCCACUGACAGCAGAGAUCACCACAACCUGGAGGAUAAACAGAAGGGUGGGAAGAAAAGAAAUGCCAGCCGACCCAGAGCCCAUCAGUGACAGGAGUGUGGCAGGCUCAGCACUGCUGGUAUCCAGCCUUCGGAGCAGGGCACUGGCACUCUUCUUCCUGCCAUGCCCAUGUCCACUGUAGUCAGCUGCAAACAAGCUUGCCUCCGAGCAAUGCCUACACACAUGUCACUUCGAGCACAUGCUUUGUGGAAUAGAGUUUCAUUUCACCCUACUUGCCAAGUUAGGCCUUAGUAGGUGGCCCAUUUAUCCUAAAGAUCUUAAAAUCGACACAUGGCUCAAUCCUUGGGAAUGUACAUUUAAAUAUUUACAGGAAAUGUGCACAGAGGAAAAAAUAUAAACCAUCUAAACAUGUGUAUCUUACACCCAUGCUUCAGUUGAUCAGUUCCCAUUCGAGCUAUGUUUGAACAUGGUAGCCACUGCUACUGGUUGGAUGUGUGUCCUCCUUGAGACCCUCCAUGCAUGUACAAAUGUCCAUGUUUGUAUAGAUGUAAAUGUAUUGUGUGUGCAUACACACAUGCAUAGAUACACAUAUAUAUACACAUAUACCCUCAAGUAAUGUACAUUUGGAAUGGAAACUUUUAUUUUAAUAAUCUGCAUUAUUUAGUACAGUAGGCCCUGUAGUUUCUUUUCCCUUUCUUGCAACCUCUUUGUCUUGGGAAGUAGCAUAAGCAUUCUAGAUCUUUUUGACCACCUUCUUACUUCUGUGGCUCUCGGUCCUGGCUGCACAGUAAAAUCACUUGGUGAGCUUUAAGGACCAUCGCCUGUGCCAUUUUCCCAACCAGUUAAAACAGCCUCGCUCAGCAGGGAUCGGCGGUCUCUCUAUGUGGAGGGCGUUGGGAACUGCUGCUCUAAUCAGGUGUAGCAUCAGUCGACCUGGCAGAGCCACGGAAUUCAAGCUGCAGUGUGUUCUCCAGGACUGGUGGACCUGGACAAGUCUGUGCUGGCAAGGAAAUGUAGAAUCGCAAAUUCCAUGCAGAUUGAAAAUGAACCCUGCCAGGUUGCCUUCCACCGCAGCUAGCUUGCGACUUCACCCGUCAUCGGACCAGGCAGAAUGACCGGACCCGGUGCCGCUGUGCCACAGAAGCAGCAGGCCCAAAUGCUGCAAGAGUUAAUAAAUGUCCAGUACCCAUGGAGAGGAGAGGAAACUAGGGUGCUUGAUGACUAAACACCUAUCCUGCAUCCACUUCGCUUGUAUGGUGACAGCAUGAGGUGUGACUGAGAGAAGAUUAAUGAUCACUGGGCCUGGGUACCUCCCAAAAGGAGUGCUGCAGGAGUGCUGUGGAGCUAAUUAACCAGCCGGCAUGAAAAGUGAAAAUAGACAAGGGAACAGGGUGCUUUGUUUUGUCUUUUUUUUCCCUCUGUGGUGGCCCAGUACUGUGUGUAGACCUACAUAUACUAUUUUUGGUUUUCCUUCUUAAGUAUGCAAAAUGACGUAAUGUUGAAAGCCUCUCUCAGUAGCCUUCUCCGGGGGAUCAAUACUGAGACAGUGGACUCUGGAUCCCACUGCCUGGGUUCAGACUCAGCUCUGACAUAUGCCAGAGUGGCCUUGGGCAAGAUACUUGAUCCUUUCUGUGCCUCAGUUUCCUCAUCUGAGAAGGGGGCUAAUAGCAAUGCCUAAUUUGUGGGGUGGCUGUGAAGAUUAAGUGAAAUAAUACAUAUAAAGCACCCAGAACUCUGUCCUGGCAUCUAAUACAUCUAAAGAAAAUAAGCAUUUAUUUUAAAUUGCACCCUUCUGGGAGUUUGGGGGUGGGAGUUUUUCUGAGGUCAUUUAUUUUUAAAACACAGAAACUCUUGCAUGCUGAUAUAUCUUAAAAGGAAAACUUUGACAAUUAGAGAGGAAAUGCCAGUCUGUUUACUCAUCUGUUUCAGGAUAAAGCACAUUUGUACAUUUGGUUCUAUAAUCAUUGAGUAUUAAGAAUAAAACCAUGCGGACAGUAUUUACUGAUCUCUAUUUGGAUCCCACUUGGUGGAUUUUUGAAGACAAGUAUACGCUCUCCUAUUGGCUAGGUUUCUUGUACCCUAGGGGUUAGCUGCUUUCUUGCCUCUUAGUGGUAUUGUUUGAGAAUUAAUCAUGAUUGUCUGAAUAAGGUUUUUGAAAAUUG